GAGGGUAUAGCUCAGUGGUAGAGCACAUGCUUAGCAUGCCUGAGGUCCUGGGUUCAAUUCCUAGUACCUCCA
rnacentral:tRNA from 1 species